rnacentral:rRNA from 1 species
GAUGAACGCUGGCGGCGUGCCUAACACAUGCAAGUCGAGCGAUUCUCUUCGGAGAAGAGCGGCGGACGGGUGAGUAACGCGUGGGUAACCUGCCCUGUACACACGGAUAACAUACCGAAAGGUAUGCUAAUACGAGAUAAUAUACUUUUAUCGCAUGGUAGAAGUAUCAAAGCUUUUGCGGUACAGGAUGGACCCGCGUCUGAUUAGCUAGUUGGUAAGGUAACGGCUUAUCAAGGCGACGAUCAGUAGCCGACCUGAGAGGGUGAUCGGCCACAUUGGAACUGAGACACGGUCCAAACUCCUACUGGAGGCAGCAGUGGGGAAUAUUGCACAAUGGGCGAAAGCCUGAUGCAGCAACGCCGCGUGGGCGAUGAAGGCCUUCGGGUCGUAAAGCUCUGUCCUCAAGGAAGAUAAUGACGGUACUUGAGGAGGAAGCCCCGGCUAACUACGUGCCAGCCGCCGCGGUAA